UACGAAGGGGGCUAGCGUUGCUCGGAAUGACUGGGCGUAAAGGGCGCGUAGGCGGAUGGCACAGUCGAAGAUGUGAAAUUCCCGGGCUUAACCUGGGGGCUGCAUUUGAUACGUGUGAUCUAGAGUGAGGAAGAGGGUCGUGGAAUUCCCAGUGUAGAGGUGAAAUUCGUAGAUAUUCGCAAGAACACCAGUGGCGAAGGCGGCUUACUGGUCCGGUUUCUGAGCCGCUGAGGCACGAAAGCGUGGGGAGCAAACAGGG
rnacentral:rRNA from 1 species